rnacentral:rRNA from 1 species
GACGAACGCUGGCGGCGUGCUUAACACAUGCAAGUCGAACGGAAAGGCCCUGCUUUUGUGGGGUGCUCGAGUGGCGAACGGGUGAGUAACACGUGAGUAACCUGCCCUUGACUUUGGGAUAACUUCAGGAAACUGGGGCUAAUACCGGAUAGGAGCUCCUGCUGCAUGGUGGGGGUUGGAAAGUUUCGGCGGUUGGGGAUGGACUCGCGGCUUAUCAGCUUGUUGGUGGGGUAGUGGCUUACCAAGGCUUUGACGGGUAGCCGGCCUGAGAGGGUGACCGGCCACAUUGGGACUGAGAGACGGACCAGACUCCUACGGGAGGCAGCGGUGGGGAAUAUUGCACAAUGGGCGGAAGCCUGAUGCAGCAACGCCGCGUGCGGGAUGACGGCCUUCGGGUUGUAAACCGCUUUCGCCUGUGACGAAGCGUGAGUGACGGUAAUGGGUAAAGAAGCACCGGCUAACUACGUG